UACGGAGGGUGCAAGCGUUAAUCGGAAUUACUGGGCGUAAAGCGCACGCAGGCGGUCUGUUAAGUCAGAUGUGAAAUCCCCGGGCUCAACCUGGGAACUGCAUUUGAAACUGGCAGGCUUGAGUCUUGUAGAGGGGGGUAGAAUUCCAGGUGUAGCGGUGAAAUGCGUAGAGAUGUGGAGGAACACCGAUGGCGAAGGCAGCCCCCUGGGUCAAGAUUGACGCUCAUGCACGAAAGCGUGGGGAGCAAACAGG
rnacentral:rRNA from 1 species